rnacentral:rRNA from 1 species
AUGAAUAUCCGGACUACUAGACUACACUACAUCCCCACUCGUCUUGCUCCAGAGUUCACGGCCUACUCACCAAGGCCCAUGCCUGGCUUCUCCUAUGCCGCGUCAAUGUCGCCACUCCGCCUCCGCCUGCACGCCCGCCACUCCGCCUCCGCCUCGCAACCCUCACGCAGCCAGGGAUGGGAUCCCCACGCCGCCUUGGCCGUCGCCACGGUUGCCCUCUUCAGCCGCAUAUCCCAAGGCGCCCUCCGACGUGUGGCACAUCCAACGGCUUGCACCUACAGCAUCCUCAUGGACUGCUGCUGCCGCGCACACCGCCCUGAUAUGGCACUCGCCUUCUUCGGUCGUCUCCUCAGGACGGGUCUGGAGGCAGACCAAGUCGUUUUCAGCACCCUCCUCAAGGGACUCUGCCACGCAAAGCGCUCAGAUGAGGCUCUGGACGUGCUGCUGCACAGGAUGCCUGAGCUCGGCUGCACCACCCACGUGGUGGCGUAUAACACCGUCAUCCAUGGCUUCUUUAGGGAAGGCCAAGUAGGCAAGGCGUGCGAUAUCUUCCAUGGAAUGGCGCAGCAGGGCGUUGCGCCUAAUGUGGUGACAUAUAACUCGGUUAUUGAUGCGCUGUGCAAGGCCAGAGCAAUGGACAAGGCAGAGUAUUUCCUUGGUCAGAUGGUUGAUAGUGGUGUCGUACCUAAUAAUGUCACAUAUAAUAGCCUCAUCCAUGGAUAUUCCUCUUCAGGCCAUUCAAAGGAGGCGGUCAGGGUGCUGAAACAGAUGACAAGUAAGGGUAUCAUACCAGAUGUUUUUACUUGCAACUUGCUCAUGGCCUCCCUUUGCAACAACAGAAGAAGCAAAGAAGCUGCAGAACUUUUUGACUCCAUGGCCAUGAAGGGCCUGAAACCUAACACCGUUUCAUAUGCUAUUCUCCUUCAUGGGUAUGCCACUGAAGGAUGCCUAGUUGACAUGAUCAAUCUCUUCAACUCAAUGGCAACAGACUGUAUUCUACCUAACUGUCGUAUCUUCAACAUACUGAUUAAUGCAUAUGCUAAAUCUGGGAAGCUUGAUAAGGCUAUGCUUAUAUUUAAAGAAAUGCACAAGCGAGGAGUGAGUCCAGAUGUAGUCACCUAUUCAACUGUAAUACAUGCAUUUUGCAAAAUGGGUAGCUUGGACAUUGCUAUGGACAAAUUUAACCAGAUGGUUGAUAUGGGAGUACGACCGAAUGCAACUGUUUAUCAUUCCCUAAUCCAGGGUUUUUGUACACAUGGGGAUUUAGUGAAAGCAAAGGAAUUGGUUACUGAAAUGAGGAACAAAGCUAUGCGUCCUCCUGAUAUUAAGUUCUUCCAUUCAAUAAUGCAGAACCUAUGCACGGAAGGAAGGGUAAUUGAAGCACGGGAUAUCCUCGACUUGAUGCUGCACAUAGGUAUGAGGCCUGAUGUUCCCAUCUUUAAUUUACUAAUCGGUGGAUACUGCCUAGUCCGCGAGAUGGAGGAUGCAACAAAAAUGUUUGAUGAUAUGGUGUCAUAUGGUUUAGAACCUUGUAACAAUACGUAUGGUAUACUUAUUAAUGGCUAUUGCAAAAAUAGAAGGAUUGAUGACGGGCUUAUUCUAUUCAAAGAGAUGCUGCGCAAGGGACUUAAACCUACAACUUUUAAUUAUAACGUCAUACUGGAUGGAUUAUUUCUGGCUGGACGAACUGUUGCUGCAAAGGUGAAGUUUAAUGAGAUGGUUGAAUCUGGAGUAAGUGUGUGCAUUGAUACAUACUCUAUAGUUCUUGGUGGACUUUGUAGAAAUAAUUGCACCGGUGAAGCAAUCACGCUGUCCAAGAAAUUAAGUACAAUGAAUGUCAAAUUCAAUAUUGCAAUUGUCAAUAUCUUGAUUGGUGCAUUCUUCAGGGUUCGGCGAAACCAAGAAGCUAAGGAUUUGUUUGCUGCUAUACCAGCCAAUGGCUUGGUUCCUAAUGCUGUUACCUACACCAUAAUGAUGACAAAUCUUAUAAAAGAAGGUCCAGUGGAAGAAGCUGACAAUCUUUUUUUAUCGAUGGAGAAGAGCGGCUGUAGUGCCAACUCUUAUAUGUUAAAUCAUAUCAUCAGAAGGUUACUGGAAAAAGGAGAGAUGGUCAAGGCUGGAAAUUAUAUGUCUAAAGUUGAUGCAAAGAGCUACUCCCUUGAAGCUAAAACUGUUUCACUGCUGAUCUCUCUGUUUUCAAGGAAAGGGAAAUAUAGAGAACACAUCAAAUUGCUCCCUACAAAGUAUCAGUUUCUGGAAGAAGCAGCCACAGUUGAA